GGCCCAUCCAUAGAAGCAGAAACUAAUCGAGAAGUCAUCCACUGGCACAUGGACAACUCGGUCACUUCUCCAUCAUGCUUCCCAACAAGCUGGACGCCAUCAAUCAACUUAUCAAGAGAAAAUUUGAGAGGAGCUUCGGCAGAAAAGCUUUCACCCUUCCCAACUUUGGUUGUGUCAAUUCUGAGAACAGCCUUCCCAAAUCCAACUACCAAAACUUCCUGUUUG
rnacentral:misc_RNA from 1 species